CUUGUCACUGGAGGCUGCUCCAGACCUUCCUCCAAGCUCUUUUCUCCAUCCCGAGACUUUUUCCUCCUCUUGUUACCUGGUAACAUGGAUCACAUGUUGACAUUUAGAGGCAAACAAAAAAUUCCCAUCGGCAUUAGUCAUUGUUCCUUUCAUUUUCAAUUACGGUAACUAUGGUAUGAACCAAAACAAAAUGCAGUGGAACAUAUGUGGUCACAUGCAUUUGGGGUUCCACACUCACUUGCCACCAUUUUAGGUGCGUGUGAUACAAUCAGACCUCCCGAGUCUCAUUGUCUCAUACAACACACAAACAUCCCUUGAUCCAAAUGAAAUAAUAAAUAAAUAAGUCAUGUCUGGCGCCAACAGGGAGCUUAGCAUCUGUAAGUAACCAUCGCAGUAACCCCUCAUCUGUUGCUAAGCUACGCCAGGCACAGUUGCCAAGUCUGACACAACCAGUUCGAGGAGACACGCAUUCCUUGAUGAGUUCAUAGCAGAUGUUUUACUCACUCAAUUUACGCAGCAGCUUCUUCCCGACGUUCUCGUCAGAGCUGGACAGAGAGCGAGAGCUGAUAUAAGGAGAGGUGGAUGGCUGAGAGUCUAUAGGCACGUCUGAAAGAAGACACAAAAAGUAGAGUUGGUUGAAUAUUUGAAGAUUUAGAGUAGUUUAAGUUUUUGUAUACCUACUUUACAGAAAAUAUGGUAUCAAACAACUGAAAUAAUGGGGUUGCAGAAGUGUGCACACCCGCCAAUCACUGAGGCCCAAUUUUAUAUACACAUUUAUUCAAACAGCAAUAAUAUUAUUUAACAGGGUUGACCGUUUUCUCCAUAAUUCUCUGGUCGAUCUUCUUGGAUGAAGGGAAUCUCAUCCAUCCGGAGGAACACGCUGUCAUUGGGACUCCGCUGGCCAUCAGAUUUGCUGCCUGUGUGAAUAGAAGGGCCAUUCAGCAGUAGAACCAAGACAAUUGAUCAGCUUUUUCAGGACCAUUUAAGGAUGAGGACAAAGUAGUCGACGGGUUUGUUCCUCUGGAAGAGGUAGUGCUGCGCAGCGUGUUUGUUCUUGGGGUUGAACUUGAGUUCUUGCACCACACUGGGAUGCUUGAUGAGACGGAGCAGGAUCUUCUCUGACAGGUCCCCAUUGGAUCACAUGACCUACCUGUAGCCAAGAAGCGAUGUGUUGCCAGCAACAACUGAGGGGAGAUCUUCACAUUCAGUUCAUUUUCUGCUACUUUGAAGAUGGAAAAAUCCUGCUGUUUCCUCUCGUGGUGCGAUACUCGCCUUUUGGUGCGAUUAUCAGCUGCGAAAGACACAUAUGGUGAAGCCAGACUUGAUGAUCUCUUCGAUGACGUCCUCCAGGGUGAUUAUGCCCAUCACCUCAUAGAAGGGGUCUCCCUCGCCUUCGUUGUUGACCCGCUGCACCACAGCCAGGUGGGAUUUGCCUGCGUUGAUCACAAAAUUUGAAAAGAUGAUGCUGUAUGGGUACAUUUGUACAUUUUAAUAAUUUUGAAUUUACAUCUCAUUAUUUUGUGAUAGAAAAUAAAGUCAA